rnacentral:tRNA from 1 species
CGGGGCGUAGCGCAGUCCGGUUAGCGUGUCUGCUUUGGGAGCAGAAGGUCGGAGGUUCAAAUCCUCUCGCCCCGA